GACGAAGGGGGCUAGCGUUGCUCGGAAUUACUGGGCGUAAAGGGCGCGUAGGCGGUUUUUCAAGUCGGGCGUGAAAGCCCCGGGCUCAACCCGGGAUGUGCGUUCGAUACUGGAUGACUAGAGUGCAGGAGAGGGUGGUGGAAUUCCUAGUGUAGAGGUGAAAUUCGCAGAUAUUAGGAAGAACACCAGUGGCGAAGGCGGCCACCUGGACUGUAACUGACGCUGAGGCGCGAAAGCGUGGGGAGCAAACAGG
rnacentral:rRNA from 1 species